CUCAUGUUUUAAAGUUAAAUGUAACUAUAUAGUGUAAAAACUACAUGAUAUGCAGAAAGGGUGUAUUAAAUUGUUCAUAUCAUGUUCAGGUGAAGUAAGUCAAUAAUAUAGCAACGUUAAAUCUCGAGAAACCACGUGUGAUUUCAUCUCGCGGGCUUUGGAUCGUGGUUUAAAAAAGGCAUCCAUCUCAGUCAAGUCGAGCAGCCAACUCUACGUUUUUUGGGUUUUUUGCUGCAGAUUGAGAGACGACCUCUAUUCUGCAUUUCACCAGGAGUCAGCUGAUGGAUUGUGGGUUCAAGGUGUUAUG